UGUAUCUGAAGUCUGACGAGGAUGAGAACCUCCGGGGGCAAGAGGUUCGACCCGAGCGAAGCGAGAGAACGUUGCGUCAGCAACGGCCCGCAGGGCGAGCCACGUAGUGGCGAGUCAUCCUCUAUCACCGACCA
rnacentral:sRNA from 1 species